UACGAAGGGGGCUAGCGUUGUUCGGAAUCACUGGGCGUAAAGGGUGUGUAGGCGGCGCGGUAAGUCGGGUGUGAAAUCUCGGAGCUUAACUCCGAAACUGCAUUCGAUACUGCCGUGCUUGAGGACUGGAGAGGAGACUGGAAUUUACGGUGUAGCGGUGAAAUGCGUAGAUAUCGUAAGGAAGACCAGUGGCGAAGGCGGGUCUCUGGACAGUUCCUGACGCUGAGGCACGAAGGUCAGGGGAGCAAACGGG
rnacentral:rRNA from 1 species